GGGGGCGAGAGGGGAGAAGAAGUCGGCGGCGGCCACGGCGCUGAGGGCCAGGAGCGCCACCGCCACGACGACCGCGGGCGCGGGCGCGGGCGCCGCGGCGCAGGGAACCCUUGCUCGGCGGAGCAUCUUGGAAGAUCAGGGUCACUUCACCGCUCGUUGGAUCUCGCGCGCCUUUCCUGGACUUGGAGGACUGGACUCCGCUCCGCGCUUGGGGGCGGGGCGGUUGUGUUCGUUUCGUUCGUCGUCGCUUUCCUUUGGUUGCGUUUUAAGUGGGAGGGAGGGAAAGGGGCGAGGGCGGUUGGCAGGCGCGGCGAGGCCAUGCGUGGGAGAGCUUUUAUUCCUGGCUCUCGCGCCCCCUGGAUUGACU
rnacentral:misc_RNA from 1 species